GGCCGCGUGGCCUAAUGGUUAGGGCGUUGGAUUUCGGCUCCAAAGGCUGUGUGUUCGAAUCGCACCGCGGUCG